UCUUUCUUAUUCUUCUCUCUUUUUAUCGCCUUCCCCCCCACCCCACCCCCCAGUCCUCUUAUCUCAGUUGUGUACAAACUGAUAUGGUACUUAGCAGGAAAGUGACUGGAAAUUAAAAUAACUUCGUUCACCAGAGGUUAUCAGCUGGAUAUCUGUCAUCAUCAGUUUGUACAGAGAGAGUCAUCUGCGGCAAAGGGCUGGACUAGAGCAGAGCCCGGCUCUCGGCAGCCGGCAGGCAUGAGCCUUCCCGACAGAAAUCGAGCCCAAACCUACUGAUGCGCGGUGCUGUCGCUCCUGGGGAAGAAGAAAAUCACGUGCAGGCAGUAUGCAAGGCUACAAGAGUUAAUGUGAACAUCUCAAACGUUGCUGCUGCAUAGUAGUGGAUGGGACAGACAUGGUUAAAUCGUGAUAAGCAAGAUAUGUCUGAGGGAGAGAGCACUGAAGAGCCAGAGUAGUCUUGUUUUGUAGCCCUCCCACUCUGAGACGUCGAUCAUGAAAAGGCCUUUGCCUCAUUAUUAGCCCAAUGCAUAGAACAGGUGAAACCCACCCAUAUGCAAACGAAGACCAUUCAGUACAUGUUAGUUGCAACAUUCUAUGAAAAGGUAUAUCCCUCUCCUAUAAUUCCAUAUAAAGGCAAAUCCCUGAAUCCGUGUGUGUGUGUGUGUGCGUAACUCACAAGCUUAAAACACGCCACCCCAAGGAGUCAAUUCUGUGCCCAGCACCUUGAGAUCCUACGCAAUGCUGGAACCUGGGGUGAUGAUAUCUUAUUCUUUUCUCUCUCUCCCUUUCUGUUCCGCUUUCUUACUCUUUUCUGUGCUACAAUCAUAGAUUUAAUAUGCCAAUGCCUAUCUUAUUCCUAAGACCUUGCCUGUAUAAAUAAAUUUCUUUUAUUUAAAGUCAA